AGAGUUUGAUCCUGGCUCAGAACGAACGCUGGCGGCAUGCCUAACACAUGCAAGUCGAACGCCCGUCUUCGGACGGGAGUGGCGCACGGGUGCGUAACGCGUGGGAAUCUGCCCAAAGGUACGGAAUAACUCAGGGAAACUUGUGCUAAUACCGUAUGAUGCCGAAAGGCCAAAGAUUUAUCGCCUUUGGAUGGGCCCGCGUCGGAUUAGCUAGUUGGUGGGGUAAAGGCCUACCAAGGCGACGAUCCAUAGCUGGUCUGAGAGGAUGAUCAGCCACACUGGGACUGAGACACGGCCCAGACUCCUACGGGAGGCAGCAGUGGGGAAUAUUGGACAAUGGGCGAAAGCCUGAUCCAGCAAUGCCGCGUGAGUGAUGAAGGCCUUAGGGUUGUAAAGCUCUUUUACCCGGGAUGAUAAUGACAGUACCGGAGAAUAGCCGC
rnacentral:rRNA from 1 species